UACACGCCAUAUUUUAAACAUUGCAUUUAACAGGUUUUUAAACUUUCAAUUGGACAGGUUUUUACUAUUUUUUUUACAGAGCUCCAGGUUCAUUUUUUACACUUUUUGUAUUCAGCAACUUUUCUUCAUUGAUAAGAAACGUGCAGUUGCUGACACGUGGGAGAGCUGAAAUAUGGUGCUAGAGAUUUUAGCAGACCGGUUGUUUAGCAGACUGGGAAUAAGUCAGAACGCUAAUUUCAAACGCGGCAUAAGCGAUUAGCGACCGCUUGCUCCGCUGCGCUUCUUUUCGACACGAAUGUUAUUGUGCGCGUAAAUCUUUGUUUUGAUGUUAAUUUAGACUUGUGUUUUUGAAGUUGAUAGUUUUGCUGAAAAAUUGUGAGAUAAUUGUCUUAAACAGGGAAGCUUGACCCAAGAGUGAGCGUUUUCUUACAAUCUGUCAAUCAAUUAUGCAUCAGUUUUGUUACAUGGUCUGCUAAAAAGACUCAUUUUUCACUUUUUAUGCUAAAAGAUUGGUCUGCUAAACGAUCGGUCCCCCUGAAAUAUGUUCAUUACAGGGUUUAUUUGGUUACACGGCUUUUAUUACGUACUAAUAAACUUUUUUGAUUGGAAAAAAUGAGAGAUUUUAAGAGUUUAUUUCGCUUUUCAUCAGCUCAGUUUCUGUUGUUUUAUCGUUUUUUUUUAGUUCAGCGUGGGUAUAACCAAUAACACCUGGUUCUCAUUAGGUAAUUACAAGGUUUUCUAUUAAAUCUUUUUGGAAAAAAGUCCCGUUUCAGUAUUCAUCGACUGUUUCCUAUGUUUUUUUUUGAAUGGCAAAUGUGUUAUGAAGUUUCGAUUAACGGUUCAGAAACUUAUUGAGGCCUUGCAGUUUUUUUUUUAGGAAAAAGUGUCAAAAUGUGUUCAUAACAAUUUUGGAUUAGUGUGUUUUGUUUCAUGCAUUAGGUGGAGUUUGAUUUUUCUAUUCUUUUUGAGCUAAUUCAUGUUCAUUUGCUAAAAGAAAGGCAAAUAUUGCUCUCCGUUUCAGAAAAAGAAGUGGCGCGAAAAAAACCUUGAACGACUUCUAGUUUGGAAAUUAGAAUUUAAUUAUUAGAUUUCCCAGCGGGAUAUAAAUUGUUCUUUUUAUCCAGUUUUCUCACAUUGGGUCAUCUUUAGCGAGAAAGUGUCAAUGAUAGAAUAUUCUUAAAAUUCAAAGAGCUUCAACGGUCUCGAAUAUAAAAACAACUAUUCAAAAACAGAUAGCCAGUGUUUUUUCUAUUUUUCUGAUUCAUCGACUUUUCUCCAAGUAUCUGUCGGCUAUGUUUUUAUACAGCCUCAUAUUUUCAGCUAUUGAUCACGUGCUCACUGUUUUUUGUUCCGACUUUCAAAAAAGAUCUGAAUUUUUGUGCUCGUGCUCGUAGUUUUUCCAGACGACUUUGGACUUUUUAACUACAAAUUUUAGACGGGAUGUUCUGAUACCAUCGGGGAAAUACGUGUCUUAAGGUUCCAGUUGAAUCAGAAGUUUUCAGACAAUUUUUGACUUUCAAGUAACACAUUUUUUAGAGGUCAUGUUUAAUCUCAAUAAGGUUUUUUCAGGCCAAUUUUUACUUCUGAAAUUUUUGACAGAUUUUUUGAUGUCUUGAAUGAAAAAUUUAUGAAUUAUGGAAUUUUUGAUUUUUUCAAUUUUGUUACUUUGGCUGUGUCCUAAAGGCUCUACUCGUUGCCUGUGUCAUAAAGGCUCAGGGUGCAAGAAUGAUAGGUCGCAGAUCUUCAUAUAAAGGGUUCCUGAUUAAAGUUUUUUGAAACGGAAUGUGUUCCAACUAUCAUAAUACCACUUUUAAGGCUCUCUAAUAAAAGAACUUGAUAUAACUUAUACGUUAUAACUUGAUAAUGACGUAAGAAGUUGCAAGAUCAAAUCAAAUAAGGCGAUUUGUUUAAGUUCUAACGUAUCUCUAUCGCUGUAAUCGUUUUUAAAAUUAAAUUGGUUAAUGAUUUUAGGCAAUUGUCUAAGUGCGCGUUUGUCUUCCGCCACGAAGCAUUCUCUAGUUGUCUUGUUGCAGUGAAAUAGAUAGCUAUACACUGUCCGUUAUUGCCCCCUUGCCAGCAGGGCCUUGACCUGUGCGCUACAGGUCUUUGACACUCAAAAAAUGUAAUAGCAUCAGCAAACGGGUUCUUGGCGAUUGUCUUGCCGGAGACUUGUCAUUGUCAGAGUUCGUCUGUCAUCUUUUGACGGGCUCCUUGGCACUUGAAUAUACGGACUAGAAAAUGUGAAAAGGCCUCUUCUUCUGGCGUUUGUCGCCUGGCGUUUGUAUUGUCUUUUUGCUUGGCGGAAAUAGUUUAAUCGUCUGACAAUCGACUGACUUGACUUGUCGUGACACUCGUCGUCAUGUCUUGAACCAUUCAACGGCGGACGAAGAAGAUCUUACUCUAGAUCGAAAUCACGAUCGCCUCGCUCAAGGUCUCGAUCCCGAUCACGAUCCCGAUAAUCCAUCACCUCAACCGGCGAAAACGGCUCUCGGAUCAGACACCUGAGCAAAUAGUUCUAACUGGCGAGUUAUUGGAUUAAGAGUGAUGAUAUUUCGGAGAGAUUGAAACUUGAUUUUUAAAACGUUGCAUGUUUUGAUUUAACUAUUCAUACUGUUUUAAAACUUUAAUGUGUUUUGAGUAAAAAUUUUCUGUUGUCUUA